GGAAAUGUGCCCGAAAGAUAGGGACCUCCUUGAUAUGGAGAACAAUAGGGGUUCAAAUCCCCUCACUUCCU
rnacentral:tRNA from 1 species